rnacentral:piRNA from 1 species
CACCAACAUGCAUGUUCCCAGAGCCUC